ACCUUGGUGUUGUUCUCAAUCCAGACGUGAUUAUUGCUGGUUGAAAACUUAACCCAUAAUCGUGCCUAGCUGACUUGGAAUAUAGUCUGCUAUGGCAAUUUUCGAUGGUCUCAUCAGAGA
ensembl:snRNA U4 U4 spliceosomal RNA